UUGCCAAUAAGACAGGAUGGAGCAGUAUUCUAGUCAGUACUGCCGGUUCUGAAAACGGGCCUAAAAAUCCGUUGAAGGGCAUAUCGAUGAAGUUCCUUGUGUUGGCUUGUUACGCCCAGUAAUGGGCUGAUGCUGGGAGUUAAGGUUUAGGGGCGAUCCGCAAUGGCAUGCGGGCGUUGACCCCUCUACCGUGGAGACCCUACCUUGUGGGAGAAAAAUAGUUUUGGCAUUAUAUCCAAAACAAAUAUUGAUUCAACUACGAGUAGGGAGUAAACCUGUUAUGCGGUACCGUUAAGGUGCUGUGAACAGAGUAGCCUGCCUUGAGUGAAGUUGGUGGAUAAUGGUCAGGUGUACAUGUAUUGGCCGAUACAUGUGCGCUAAAGCAGUUUGAAACCACCUUUGCAAAAGAGGCUAGGAAUCGGUCAGACUGUCGGGGAAAACCCCUAGACUGUUCUAACAAGAGAUACACUGGGGAUUGCAGUGUGGACUAAGUGGUAAUCAGGCCCCACAAUUGGCAACAUUGUGGCGGAAGGUUUAAAAGGAAACUGCUGAUUUGGCGACAUUUCAGUACCUUCCGUGGAAAUCAAGCCUGACCUAAGCCGCAAAAUUUACUCAGUGUAUUUCCAUCCUGUAUUUUAUUAUA
rnacentral:sRNA from 1 species